rnacentral:lncRNA from 1 species
UCCAGAACUAUCAGUUUCCUGCUGCUGCUAUUUCCCAACUCUCCACUGUUGGGAGCCAUUGCUUUAUACUUCAGUGGCUCUCUUUACUAAGUUUUAUUUGUUUAAUUUGUGUAGGCUCUUAAAAAAUACUUGUAUCUUCUUAGCAGUUUAUCAGAUAUGCAUUUCCACUCCCAUUAACACCUGUGUUCUGGGUGGAAUUAUCAUUUAGUGUAUGGCCCCGA